AAUGCUAACAAUUUCAACUUCAUCAAAUUGCUUUGCCAAAGACAUGAAACCAGUGUCACACAAAGGAGAUAGAUGUCAAGACACGGACCCUAACAGUGCGCACUGUAGCUUCCGGGUGCCUCCAGAUGGAAACUGUGGACUUGAAGCUGGGAAGACAUGUCACUGGCAUCCUCUGCAGACAUCUGGACAGCUGGGAUGCACAAACAUGACAGAGGACCUUACCCAGCUUGGAGACAACCACACCAGGAUGACCAGGUGUGGUUCCACACCCCAAAAGCUACAGCCACCCCAGGUCUCAUCAUGACCGACACCCCGCCUCCCUCCCUGAGUUUCUCCACGUCUUCACUGCACCAGGACAUCUCAUCCACACCACCCCUACUAAAUCGUCUAGCUUCUCUCAAAUGCCACCAGUGGCGGCGACGCAGGAAAGACCCAGGAAGGCCUUUUUAUCUUCAAAUUAUUCUCCAAUUAUCAUUCAAAUUAUUUCCUUGGGAGAAAUUGCCAAGACUGGAAUUCGGGGGUAAAGGAGGUGGCAUAUCUCAUUGACUUACUGCUCCCACACAUUUGAAGAUGAGCACUUAUACCCACUUGCUCCCCACUCUGCUCCAACAUAAAGAUUUCUAAGGGUUUACCGGAAGAGUUUCAA